rnacentral:tRNA from 1 species
GUGGGUAUAGCUCAGUGGUAGAGUGCAUGCCUAGCAUGCAUGAGGUCCUGGGUUCAAUACCCAGUAGCCACC